GGUGGAGUGUUGGAACUGGGUAUACAUCGAGGUUUUAGAAACCUCGGCUCGAAAGAGAUUGAGGGUUCGAAUCCCUCCUCCACUACCA
rnacentral:tRNA from 1 species